rnacentral:rRNA from 1 species
AUUGAACGCUGGCGGCAGGCCUAACACAUGCAAGUCGAGCGGAUGAGGGGAGCUUGCUCUCUGAUUCAGCGGCGGACGGGUGAGUAAUGCCUAGGAAUCUGCCUGGUAGUGGGGGACAACGUUUCGAAAGGAACGCUAAUACCGCAUACGUCCUACGGGAGAAAGUGGGGGAUCUUCGGACCUCACGCUAUCAGAUGAGCCUAGGUACGAUUAGCUAGUUGGUGAGGUAAAGGCUCACCAAGGCGACGAUCGUUAACUGGUCUGAGAGGAUGAUCAGUCACACUGGAACUGAGACACGGUCCAGACUCCUACGGGAGGCAGCAGUGGGGAAUAUUGGACAAUGGGCGAAAGCCUGAUCCAGCCAUGCCGCGUGUGUGAAGAAGGUCUUCGGAUUGUAAAGCACUUUAAGUUGGGAGGAAGGGCAGUAAGUUAAUACCUUGCUGUUUUGACGUUACCAACAGAAUAAGCACCGGCUAACUUCGUGCCAGCCGCCGCAGUAACAC